UGGGGAAUAUUGCACAAUGGGGGAAACCCUGAUGCAGCGACGCCGCGUGGAGGAAGAAGGUCUUCGGAUUGUAAACUCCUGUUGUUGGGGAAAAUAAGGAUGGUACCCAACAAGGAAGUGACGGCUAACUACGUGCCAGCAGCCGCGGUAAAACGUAGGUCACAAGCGUUGUCCGGAAUUACUGGGUGUAAAGGGAGCGCAGGCGGGUAUGCAAGUUGGAAGUGAAAUACAUGGGCUCAACCCAUGAACUGCUUUCAAAACUGUGUAUCUUGAGUAGUGCAGAGGUAGGCGGAAUUCCCGGUGUAGCGGUGGAAUGCGUAGAUAUCGGAGGAACACCAGUGGCGAAGGCGGCCUACUGGGCACCAACUGACGCUGAGGCUCGAAAGUGUGGGUAGCAAAC
rnacentral:rRNA from 1 species